GCCGUAUAGCCAGAAUGGUGGACCCUCGGCUUGUAACCGAGUGGGUUCGGGUUCGAAUCCCGAGUAAGGCU